CCCGCAACGAGCGCAACCCUGUGUUUAGUUGCCAUCACGGUAAUGGUGGGCACUCUAAACAGAUGCCGGUGAAAGCCGGAGGAAGGUGGGGAUGACGUCAAGUCAGCAUGGUCCUUAUGUCCAGGGCUGCACACGUGCUACAAUGGGUGGUACAGAAGGAAGCAAUGCCGCGAGGCGGAGCAAAUCCCAAAACCACCCCAGUUCAGAUUGGAGUCUGAAAUUCGACUCCAUGAAGUUGGAAUCGCUAGUAAAGGCGUAUCAGCUACGACGCCUUGAAUACGUUCCCGGGCCUU
rnacentral:rRNA from 1 species